rnacentral:rRNA from 1 species
UACGUAGGGGGCAAGCGUUGUCCGGAUUUAUUGGGCGUAAAGAGCGUGUAGGCGGCCAGAUAGGUCCGUUGUGAAAACUGGAGGCUUAACCUCCAGCUGUCGAUGGAAACCAUCUGGCUAGAGUCCGGAAGAGGAGAGUGGAAUUCCUGGUGUAGCGGUGAAAUGCGCAGAUAUCAGGAGGAACACCGGUGGCGAAGGCGGUUAGCUGGGCAGUUGCUGACACUGAGGCGCGACAGCGUGGGGAGCAAACAGG